rnacentral:rRNA from 1 species
CCUACGGGAGGCAGCAGUGAGGAAUAUUGGUCAAUGGACGCAAGUCUGAACCAGCCAUGCCGCGUGCAGGAUGACGGCUCUAUGAGUUGUAAACUGCUUUUGUACGAGGGUAAACCCCGAUACGUGUAUUGGGUUGAAAGUAUCGUACGAAUAAGGAUCGGCUAACUCCGUGCCAGCAGCCGCGGUAAUACGGAGGAUCCGAGCGUUAUCCGGAUUUAUGGGGUUUAAAGGGUGCGUAGGCGGUUCGAUAAGUUAGAGGUGAAAUGUCGGGGCUCAACCCCGAAACUGCCUCUAAUACUGUUGGAGUAGAGAAUAGUUGCGGUAGGCGGAAUGUAUGGUGUAGCGGUGAAAUGCUUAGAGAUCAUACAGAACACCGAUUGCGAAGGCAGCUUACCAAACUAUAUCUGACGUUGAGGCACGAAAGCGUGGGUAGCACACAGGAUUAGAUACCCUAGUAGUC